rnacentral:misc_RNA from 1 species
UUUCCGUAGGUGAACCUGCGGAAGGAUCAUUAUCGUAGGGAUCCGUCCCUAUUGAGAUAGCACCCUUUGUUCAUGAGUACCACCCGUUUCCUCGGCAGGUCCGCCUGCCGCCAGGACCCCACCAAACCCAUUGUCGUAGCAGUGUCGUCAGAAGCAUAAACUAUUUAAAACUUUCAACAACGGAUCUCUUGGUUCUGGCAUCGAUGAAGAACGCAGC